GUUUUAUAUUCAUAACAUGAUAUCAAAAUGCAAUUUUGAUGGUGUAUAAUAAUUACUAAGACUU
rnacentral:tRNA from 1 species